rnacentral:tRNA from 1 species
CAAAAAAUAGUUUUAAAAAAAAAUUUUAAUUUUGGAGAUUAAAGAUGUAAAUUAUUUUAUUUUUUUGA